GCUCCGGUGGCCUAGUGGUUAGAGCUUUAGAGUGUCCGCCUCAGAUGUGGAAGGUCGUGGGUUCGAUCCCCGGUCGAGUCA